rnacentral:tRNA from 1 species
GCAUUGGUGGUUCAGUGAUAGAAUAUCUUGUCUUCCAUGUGGGAGGCCCAUGUUUGAUUCCUGGCCACUGCA